AGUAGUUUGACUCCGUGGCUACAGAACGAACGCUGGCGGCAGGCCUAACACAUGCAAGUCGAACGCCCUAGCAAUAGGGAGUGGCAGACGGGUGAGUAACACGUGGGAACCUUCCCUAUAGUACGGAAUAGCCCAGGGAAACUUGGAGUAAUACCGUAUACGCCCGAGAGGGGAAAGAUUUAUCGCUAUAGGAUGGGCCCGCGUUGGAUUAGCUAGUUGGUGAGGUAAUGGCUCACCAAGGCGACGAUCCAUAGCUGGUCUGAGAGGACGACCAGCCACACUGGGACUGAGACACGGCCCAGACUCCUACGGGAGGCAGCAGUGGGGAAUAUUGGACAAUGGGCGCAAGCCUGAUCCAGCCAUGCCGCGUGAGUGAUGAAGGCCUUAGGGUUGUAAAGCUCUUUUGGCGGGGACGAUAAUGACGGUACCCGGAGAAGAAGCCCCGGCUAACUUCGUG
rnacentral:rRNA from 1 species